rnacentral:rRNA from 1 species
AACGUAGGAGACAAACGUUAUCCGGAGUUACUGGGCGUAAAGGGCGUGUAGGUGGUUUCGUAAGUCUGGCGUGAAAUUUUUCGGCUUAACCGGGAAAGGUCGUCGGAUACUGCAGAGCUAGAGGACGGUAGAGGCGUGUGGAAUUCCGGGUGUAGUGGUGAAAUGCGUAGAGAUCCGGAGGAACACCAGUGGCGAAGGCGACACGCUGGGCCGUACCUGACACUGAUGCGCGAAAGCAUGGGGAGCAAACAGG